CAAGCAUUUCACAUUUGCUGUAGCACUAUGUAAUGGUGUACUUCUUUUAGAAAUUCUGCUCCUUACGUUUAUAAAUUCUACAUAUGGUUUCUCAUCACUUGGUAUAUAUAUAGCACGUUUUGGGCAACGAAUUAUUCAGCGUUCUAUGUUAAAGCUUUCAACCUUGAAAUCACAUAUUUGUUUGGGCAUGUGCUAUAUGUACCAUUUUAGAAGUAGUCCACAUAUUUCUGUCCUGCUAUAGUCUUUUUUAAACUUCUUAUGAGAUUGAAGUAUUCGUUCUGAUUUCUGGUUUGCUGAUUGUUGUAGACAGAUGUUUGAAACCUCUUAACCGUGGACGACAACUACCUGAGAAGGACCAUCAUCACCCAUCAAGUACGCCAUUGAGGGCGUCCGUGGAAGGCCCAGUCCUGACUCUCCAGUGAGCCGACAUUUGAUCGCUAUUGAAGGAGCUACAUGUAGAAGAAGAAAAUACUUGUAGAGCUUGUAACUGAUUCCCAUAGUUGUAGAGCUUGCAUCAACUAAGCUUGUAUUACGUGUAACUUGUAGAACUUGUAAAUGCUACAGCUUGUAGGACGUGUCAUUUGUAGAGCUUGUAAAUAAGCUUGUAUAUGCUACAGCUUGUAGGACGUGUCAUUUGUAGAGCUUGUAUUGAAUCUGGCUAUUGUUAUUUGAA